CCACCAUUUAAUAUUUGUCUGCUCAAAUGAACAAUAAAUCUUCCGACUAUAACAAUAAACCAAGUUUCAAUACCAGCCACAUGUUGUUUUUUUUUGGACUGGGAAUUUUUCAGAACCUCUUUUGAAAGGUCACUUUUCUCUAGUCAUCACUUUUGAUACUUCCCAUGAGUGACAUGCUUAAAACAGGCUUGACUGUACAUGAUCCUUGAUACUAAAUAGAUCUUUAUAUUCAAAUUUUAUAGGGGGCCUCGGUGGCCGAAAUUAGUUACUACUGUAAUCACUAGCCAGUCAACACUGAGGUUGUGAGUUCGAACCUGCUUGUGCGGGUGCAUUUGACUCCGCUCUUAAUUGACUAGGAUUGUCAGUUUUCCUAGCGAAUGUCUGUGGUUUUCUCCAGGAAAUCUGGCUUCCUCUACCAAUAAAAACUGAUCGCCACGAAAUAGCCUAAAUGCGUUGCUUAAAAGUGGAGUUAAAACGCCAAAAAUCAAAUCAAAUUUUAUAAAAACUUAUAAAUUUUCAGCAGUAUAAUUUUUUCCCAUUAUGUUUUUCUCUCGCUUUUCUUAAAUAUAUACUGCCCAUCAAAAACAAAGAUGUGUAAUAUAAAAG
rnacentral:lncRNA from 1 species